rnacentral:rRNA from 1 species
AGGUGGUGCAUGGUUGUCGUCAGCUCGUGUCGUGAGAUGUUGGGUUAAGUCCCGCAACGAGCGCAACCCUUAUUGUUAGUUGCCAUCAUUUAGUUGGGCACUCUAGCGAGACUGCCGGUGACAAACCGGAGGAAGGUGGGGAUGACGUCAAAUCAUCAUGCCCCUUAUGACCUGGGCUACACACGUGCUACAAUGGGAAGUACAACGAGUCGCUAGACCGCGAGGUCAUGCAAAUCUCUUAAAGCUUCUCUCAGUUCGGAUUGCAGGCUGCAACUCGCCUGCAUGAAGCCGGAAUCGCUAGUAAUCGCGGAUCAGCACGCCGCGGUGAAUACGUUCCCGGGCCUUGUACACACCGCCCGUCACACCACGAGAGUUUGUAACACCCGAAGUCGGUGAGGUAACCUUUUUGGAGCCAGCCGCCUAAGGUGGGAUAGAUGAUUGGGGUGAAGUCGUAACAAGGUAGCCGUAUCGGAAGGUGCGGCUGGAUCACCUCCUUU